GUCCGUCGAACUACAUGCAGGCGGCGAUGCUGGUGGAAGAAGCUGCAAAGCUGCCCGCCAAGCGCUGGGCGACCAUCGCACCGAAUUAUGAGUACGGUCAGUCCGCGGUCGCGGUUUUCAAGAAGCUGCUGUCNNNNNNGACAUCCAGUGGGUCGAUGAACAGUGGCCGCCUCAGGGCAAAAUCGAUGCAGGCCCGAUCG
rnacentral:misc_RNA from 1 species